rnacentral:rRNA from 1 species
CCUACGGGCGGCAGCAGUAGGGAAUAUUGCUCAAUGGCGGAAACCCUGAAGCAGCAACGCCGCGUGGAGGAUGACGGUCUUCGGAUUGUAAACUCCUUUUGUUAGAGAAGAUAAUUACGGUAUCUAACGAAUAAGCACCGGCAAACUCCGUGCCAGCCGCCGCGGUAAUAGGGGGGCGGCAGCGUUAAUCGGGAUAACCGGGCGUAAAGCGGGCGUAGGCGGGAUAGCAAGUCAGAUGGGAAAUCCUAGGGGUUAACCAUAGAACUGCAUUUGAAACUGUUAUUCUAGAGUUUGGGAGGGGUAGGUGGAAUGCUUGGUGUAGGGGUAAAAUGCGUAGAGAUCAAGAAGAAUACUCAUUGCGAAGGCGACCUGCUAGAACAUAACUGACGCUGAUGCGCGAAAGCGUGGGGAGCGAACAGGAUUAGAUACCCCAGUAGUC